CGCUCCUCUGUCACGCGCCUCCGUCACUCAUCUCCCGGCUUCCCCGCCGGCGGGCUGCCGACGUCACGCAGCGCCCCUGACGGCCCCGCCCCCUUGUCCCGCUAACUGGACAGCUGAGCAUGAUGAUUGACAGCUCCUGGUGACUGCACAGAGCUCCUGGGACACGUGUACACCAGCAACACAAGGGAGAGUUUUGUCUUCUGAAGUGACUGAUGACGUGUUUAUACAUUAGCUUCAUGCAGCAUUCUCUGUGUAGAGGAAAGGGGGAAGUAUGCUAAUUUACCUAGGAUUUAAAAUGUGUUGACUAUAAAGUAAUUGAGUCUUUAUGGGAUUUCUAAUACUCUUGUGUCCUGUGUCUUUGAGAAUCAGAAUUUUGUGUGUGGCAGACAGGAAGUACAGAUGUGAUAUAGAAAUUAAAACCCCUUUAGCCCCGAGUUUGAAUAGGAACUGUCAGUAUGAACUCUUCAGGGGUUUUAUCUACUUAUCCCUAUCCACUAAAAAGGUCUAGAAAGCUUUUUAGUAGCAAUGGACACUGCCACUCAGAUCUUAAAAUACCAUUUUCCACAGAAAGAAAUCAGAACUUGGGUAAAUGGCUGAUUCCAGGUCUGGGGCAGGAAAUGUACAAGAUGAGCGUGGAAGCUUAUCACAUCAGGUAGCAAAGGAGCCAACAAACGCUAUCAGGGUAAUGUCAAAAUAACUCAGGAGCCAAGCUCUCAUGGUCAAAGAUGGGACAAUUUGAGCAUUAAUAAGGAUAAUUUAAUAAACAUUGUGUUUAAAUCCAUGA